rnacentral:lncRNA from 1 species
AGAGCCGGAUCCACACCACCAUCCAAUUCACCUCAAUGAUGCUCGACACAAAGUCUAGCUUGCACCUCUCCAUGGCCAGAAGCUGGCCAACCAUUAACCUCGACCCAUUCUCUAGAGCUACAGUUCGGUCAGCCUCAUUCUUAAAAUAAAGGGGUGUGGUGCUCCUUCGUCAUUGGGAAUGCCUUGACCUCAUAGUCAAUCUUCUCCUUAGAUGCAGCUCCCAGGCGA